rnacentral:rRNA from 1 species
AUUGAACGCUGGCGGCAUGCCUUACACAUGCAAGUCGAACGGCAGCACGGGUGCUUGCACCUGGUGGCGAGUGGCGAACGGGUGAGUAAUACAUCGGAACAUGUCAUGUAGUGGGGGAUAGCCCGGCGAAAGCCGGAUUAAUACCGCAUACGAUCUACGGAUGAAAGCGGGGGACCUUCGGGCCUCGCGCUAUAGGGUUGGCCGAUGGCUGAUUAGCUAGUUGGUGGGGUAAAGGCCUACCAAGGCGACGAUCAGUAGCUGGUCUGAGAGGACGACCAGCCACACUGGGACUGAGACACGGCCCAGACUCCUACGGGAGGCAGCAGUGGGGAAUUUUGGACAAUGGGCGAAAGCCUGAUCCAGCAAUGCCGCGUGUGUGAAGAAGGCCUUCGGGUUGUAAAGCACUUUUGUCCGGAAAGAAAUCCUUGGCCCUAAUACGGUCGGGGGAUGACGGUACCGGAAGAAUAAGCACCGGCUAACUACGUG